AACGCGAAGAACCUUACCAGGGCUUGACAUGGAGAGGCCGUGUCCAGAGAUGGGCAUUCCCGCAAGGGACCUGUGUAGAGGUGCUGCAUGGCUGUCGUCAGCUCGUGCCGUGAGGUGUUGGGUUAAGUCCCGCAACGAGCGCAACCCUUACUCAUAGUUGCUACCCGCAAGGGAGAACUCUAUGAGGACUGCUCCGGAUAACGGAGAGGAAGGUGGGGAUGAGGUCAAGUCAGCAUGGCCUUUAUGUCCAGGGCUACACACGUGUUACAAUGCGCGCCACAAAGCGUUGCAAACCCGCGAGGGGGAGCUAAUCGCAAAAAAGCGCGCUCAGUUCGGAUUGCAGUCUGCAACUCGACUGCAUGAAGCCGGAAUCGCUAGUAAUGGCGCAUCAGAACGGCGCCGUGAAUACGUUCCCGGGCCUUGUACACACCGGAGUA
rnacentral:rRNA from 1 species